GACGGCGGGUGCAAGCGUUGUUCGGAAUCACUGGGCGUAAAGCGCGUGUAGGCGGUUUGAUAAGUCGAAUGUGAAAGCCCGAGGCUCAACCUCGGAAGUGCAUUCGAAACUGUCAGGCUUGAGUACGGGAGAGGGAAGUGGAAUUCCUGGUGUAGAGGUGAAAUUCGUAGAUAUCAGGAGGAUCACGGGUGGCGAAGGCGGCUUCCUGGUCCGAUACUGACGCUGAGACGCGAAAGCGUGGGGAGCAAACAGG
rnacentral:rRNA from 1 species